UGUUUAAAAUAAAAAAAAGGUGUAGAAAGUAAAAAGAAAAGUCGUAUCACUAACACAUACAUUACUGUUUGAAACUUGAUUUAUUUCUUUUUCUUUUUCAUCCUGUC
rnacentral:ribozyme from 1 species